rnacentral:lncRNA from 10 species
UGUCCCCGGCCCGUGGACCACGACCCGCCACGCCCCCAACUGCGGGCCACGCCCCAUCCAGUGGCCCCGUCCAGACUCCGCCCACCUCAGGCCCUACCUCGUCAAGGCCCCGCCCCGUGCUUCCGUCCCUCUGCAGGUCCAGGAGAACAUGCUCUACGUUAUCACUGGUCCUAGACUGGGGACGAUGUGGAGACCCACAGACUGAAGCAGAGCUGUUCCAGCCACUUGCAGACCUCACAUACAGCCACCUGCACAUGUGGAGCUUGGUCUGGGAGGCUGCCUGCUCCCCCUUCGAGCCUGGGUGGCAUGUGUCCAGGUGCCACCCCUAAGCGGAAGAGCCUUUCCUGGGGUGGUGUGCAGAUGGCCACAAGGGAGGCAAGGUGGCCCAGGGAGGAAGAGAGAAGCCCAGGAGAAGCCAGCUCAGGAUACCUCUUGGACAUGGCAUGAGAGCGCGCUGUCUUUGGCAUGUUCCGCAGGAGAAAUCCAUCAGAGGAAGUGAGAGUGAAGGUAGGAAACAGAACUCAUCUUGUGAGCAGCCCUUCUUGCCAACGCCACACAUCCUUGUUGUCCAAAUGUCAAGUGAGAAACGUAUCUGUGUGCAUUGUCAGACCUCAUUGCUGGGAGAUGUCAGCGCUGCCCGCAACUCCACUGGGAGGGGACAACUGGGAGAUCCAUGUGUGGAGCCCCCCUGGACUCUGCCGCACGUGCCUCUUCCCUGAGCUGAUUUUAAUCUGUGUCCUUUUGCUGUAAUAAGCUGUAAGUGUGAGUAGGAUGCCCUUCUGAGUUCUGUGAGUCCUUCUAGCA